rnacentral:rRNA from 1 species
UACGUAGGUGGCAAGCGUUGUCCGGAUUUACUGGGCGUAAAGGGCGUGCAGGCGGUCUGUUAAGUGCAGGGUGAAAGCUCCCGGCUCAACUGGGAGAGGUCCUUGCAUACUGGCGGAGCUUGAGGGGGGUAGAGGAAAGUGGAAUUCCUGGUGUAGCGGUGAAAUGCGCAGAUAUCAGGAGGAACACCGGUGGCGAAGGCGGUUCUCUGGGCAUGUCCUGACGCUGAGGAGCGAAAGUGUGGGGGAGCGAACAGG